GCUGGCGGCGUGCCUAAUACAUGCAAGUCGAGCGAACGGACGAGAAGCUUGCUUCUCUGAUGUUAGCGGCGGACGGGUGAGUAACACGUGGAUAACCUACCUAUAAGACUGGGAUAACUUCGCGAAACCGGAGCUAAUACCGGAUAAUAUUAUGAACCGCAUGGUUCAAUAGUGAAAGACGGUCUUGCUGUCACUUAUAGAUGGAUCCGCGCUGCAUUAGCUAGUUGGUAAGGUAACGGCUUACCAAGGCAACGAUGCAUAGCCGACCUGAGAGGGUGAUCGGCCACACUGGAACUGAGACACGGUCCAGACUCCUACGGGAGGCAGCAGUAGAGAAUCUUCCGCAAUGGGCGAAAGCCUGACGGAGCAACGCCGCGUGAGUGAUGAAGGUCUUCGGAUCGUAAUACUCUGUUAUUAGAGAAGAACAUAUGUGUAAGUAACUGUGCACAUCUUGACGGUACCUAAUCAGAAAGCCACGGCUAACUACGUGCCAGCAGCCGCGGUAAUACGUAGGUGGCAAGCGUUAUCCGGAAUUAUUGGGCGUAAAGCGCGCGUAGGCGGUAUUAUAAGUCUGAUGUGAAAGCCCACGGCUCAACCGUGGAGGGUCAUUGGAAACUGGAAUACUUGAGUGCAGAAGAGGAAAGUGGAAUUCCAUGUGUAGCGGUGAAAUGCGCAGAGAUAUGGAGGAACACCAGUGGCGAAGGCGACUGUCUGGUCUGUAACUGACGCUGAUGUGCGAAAGCGUGGAGAUCAAACAGGAUUAGAUACCCUGGUAGUCCACGCCGUAAACGAUGAGUGCUAAGUGUUAGGAGGAUUCCGCCGCUUAGUGCUGCAGCUAACGCAUUAAGCACUCCGCCUGGGGAGUACGACCGCAAGGUUGAAACUCAAAGGAAUUGACGGGGACCCGCACAAGCGGUGGAGCAUGUGGUAUAAUUCGAAGCAACGCGAAGAACCUUACCAAAUCUUGACAUCCUAUGACAACUCUAGAGAUAGAGCCUUCCGCUUCGGCGGACAAAGUGACAGGUGGUGCAUGGUUGUCGUCAGCUCGUGUCGUGAGAUGUUGGGUUAAGUCACGCAACGAGCGCAACCCUUAAGCUUAGUUGCCAUCAUUAAGUUGCGCACUCUAAGUUGAC
rnacentral:rRNA from 1 species